GGAGUGCGGCCGGUUGUGGGAUGUGAGGAGCGCUGGGAUGGAGGUGGUUGUGCGCUUCCAGCAGCCUAUCUUUCAUCCUCCCAGUCUUCCAUCUGCUCCAGCAUCGCUGCGAUACAGGGUAAGCUGACCAUGACUUUUCCUCAUGCUAGAUCUGGUGAGAUUUCCUUAUUCCAAAUCCAGGUGAUUCCCUUUGUUUUAUUUCACUUUUGAUUAGUCCUUUGUGGUAUUUUCUUGAUCAACCAUGCCACAGUGGAAGGAGUAGAUCUGACUAUUUUACUAACUGUGAUGAUUGCAAGUGUAGGUCCUUUGUUUAAUUUAAAACAAGGUUCUUCAGUUGCAACUUCCUUUUAGAACAAAUCCACAAAUUGCAGGUAUCAAUUAUGUCCGAUCAAGAGAAGCUUGGGAGCAUAUGAUCUGUUUUAUUUCUUGGUUGCUGGAUAUGAAAAUCUUAAUUCUCAUUCAUGGAUCUUGCUGGCCAUAGGAAGUCCAUGGUUUCCUCUAUAGAAGUAUCAUAUUUUUUCCUCUAAAACGAAGCCAGUGGUGCAAAAGAGGUUUAAUUUUGGCAUUUGCAAAUGCACCGCAAGAAGAUGGAAAGAA